rnacentral:rRNA from 1 species
AGUGAACGCUGGCGGCGUGCCUAAUACAUGCAAGUCGAACGGAGUGGCGCGUGGGUGAGUAAUAUAUAGCUAAUCUGCCCCUUGCUGGAGGACAACAGAUAGCAAUGACUGCUAAUACUCCAUAGCAAGCGAUGGGACUAUAUCGUAUCAGCUAGUCGGUGGGGUAACGGCCUACCGAGGCGAUGACGCGUAACUGGUGUGAGAGGAUGAUCAGUCACAUUGGAACUGAGGCACGAUCGGAGAUCCUACGUGAGGCAGCAGUAGGGAAUAUUGCGCAAUGGGGGAAACCCUGACGCGGCAACGCCGUGUGGAGGAUGACAGUUAUGGGAGCGAAAACUCCUUUUGUUAGGGAAGCGGUACCUAACGAAUAAGCACCGGCUAACUACGUGCCAGCAGCCGCGGUAAUUC